rnacentral:rRNA from 1 species
CGCAUCUGUGCAUGCAGCAUAUCAAUAAGCGGAGGAAAAGAAACUAACAAGGAUUCCCCUAGUAACGGCGAGUGAAGCGGGAAGAGCUCAAAUUUGAAAUCUUAAAGGGUUUCCCUUUACGAAUUGUAGUUUAAAGAAGUGUUUUCUGUUGAGGUUUUGGUAAAAGUUCUUUGGAAUAGGACAUCAUAGAGGGUGAGAAUCCCGUAGUUUGACCUUUACUUUCAACUUUGUGAUACACUUUCAAAGAGUCGGAUUGUUUGGGAAUGCAGUCCAAAAUGGGUGGUAAAUUUCAUCUAAAGCUAAAUAUUGGCGAGAGACCGAUAGCGAACAAGUACCGUGAGGGAAAGAUGAAAAGAACUUUGAAAAGAGAGUUAAACAGUACGUGAAAUUGUCAAAAGGGAAGCGUUUGACACCAGUGUUGUUUUUCUGAAAAUCAAUUAAAGAACUGUUUAUGCUAAGUUGUUUAGACUUUAUCAGCUAACUGUUUAGUUUUGAGCUUUUCUUUAAUGCACUUUUCAGUUAACAAGUCAACAUCAAUUUCUUUUGCUGUAAAAAAGCUUGAGGAAGGUGGCUUGAGAUUCGUCUUAAGUGUUUAUAGCCUCUUGCCUAUGCAGUCGGAGAGAUUGAGGUCUGCAGCGUAGAUCCUUCGGGGCUAAAUGCAUUUGUGCUAAGUUAUAGCAUUUUAUAGACAACUUGUUGACUAUGAUUUGUCUUGUAGCUUACUCGCUUAUGUUAUUUUACCUACGCUUAGGAUGUUGAAUCUGUGCGAGACUA